CCAGUGUUCAUGCUUUGGCUUCAUCUGGUGAUGAGUUUCUUGACAAAUUAAUUGAUUUUUCAUGGGAUGGGUCACUUACAGACCUUGGCAAACCAGAAGACUCUGAAGAAUCUAUGGCAGAAAAUAUGAAAAUACAUAUAUUAAAAUUCAUUAUCAAAUAGAACUAACAUCGAUGAGGUUUUAAAUGAAAUUAUAUACCUUGACAGCCAUUGAAGGAUCUCUUGCAAUGUAGGAUGGCGCUUUGGAUUCCAUCUUGCUGUUGCAAUAGAGAAUCAUCUCUCCUCUUAGACAAAGUUGGCGCCGGAGGGGAAGCCGCCACGGCGGAGGAAGCCGAUCUACUCUUUCCC
rnacentral:lncRNA from 1 species